UUUACGGUAAGGGCAGAGGGAAUUUCCGGUGGAGCGGUGAAAUGCGUAGAGAUCGGAAAGAACACCUACGGCGAAAGCACUCUGCUGGGCCGACACUGACACUGAGAGACGAAAGCUAGGGGAGCGAAUGGGAUUAGAUACCCCAGUAGUCCUAGCCGUAAACGAUGGAUACUAGGCGCUGUGCGUAUCGACCCGUGCAGUGCUGUAGCUAACGCGUCAAGUAUCCCGCCUGGGGAGUACGUUCGCAAGAAUGAAACUCAAAGGAAUUGACGGGGGCCCGCACGAGCGGUGGAGCAUGUGGUUUAAUUCGAUGCGAAGCGAAGAACCUUACCAGGGCUUGACAUGCCGCGAAUCCUCUUGAAAGAGAGGGGUGCCUUCGGGAACGCCGACACUGGUGGUGCAUGGCUGUCGUCAGCUCGCGCCGUAAGGUGUUGGGUUUAGUCCCGCUACGAGCGCAACCCUCGUGUUUAGUUGCCACCGUUGAGUUUGGUACCCUGAACAGACUGCCGGUGAUUAGCCGGAGGAACGUGAUGAUGACGUCAAGUCAUCAUGCCCCUUAUGCCCUGGGCGACUCACGUGCUUCAAUGGCCGGGACAAAGGGUCGCGAUCCCGCGAGGGUGAUCUAACUCCUGAAACCCGUCCUCAGUUCGGAUUGCAGGCUGCUACUCGCCUGCAUGAAGCCGGUAUCGCUAGUAAUCGCCGGUCAUCCAUACGGCGGUGUAUUCGUUCCCGGGCCUUGUUCUCACCGCCCGUCACACUAUGGGAGCUGGCCAUGCCCGAAGUCGUUACCUUAUCCCGAGGAUGGGGGUGCGCAAGCAUGGCUAUGACGGAGUGAUAUCUUCUAAGUAGCCGUCUGAUAGUGGGUUG
rnacentral:rRNA from 1 species